rnacentral:rRNA from 1 species
GAUGAACGCUAGCUACAGGCUUAACACAUGCAAGUCGAGGGGUUCCAAAGGAGCUUGCUUCUGCGGAACGACCGGCGCACGGGUGAGUAACGCGUAUCCAACCUGCCCUUCAUAUUGGUAUAGCCUCCCGAAAGGGAGAUUAAUCCCGAAUAACAUAUUUUGGUUACCUGAUUAGAAUAUGAAAGCUCCGGCGAUGAAGAUGGGGAUGCGUUCCAUUAGGUAGUAGGCGGGGUAACGGCCCACCUAGCCGACGAUGGAUAGGGGUUCUGAGAGGAAGGUCCCCCACACUGGAACUGAGACACGGUCCAGACUCCUACGGGA